UAAGGGUAGAGUGUUAGUCCCAGAUGUUGUCCUGGAUUUCUCUGCAUGUCCAAGUUGGAGUCCCCAAACUUCCAAUUCUUCUCUCUGUCUCUCAACUCCAACUACCCUGUCUCUUCCCUUUGUCUUUACUUUUAAAGGGCCAGACUCUCUGUACGUCAUUAGUUGAUAACCCAAUAGGAAGCCGUAGGUGUGUCCAAUCUAUG